AGUUCUCGCGAGACUGGAGACCAGGAAGACGCCUGCAGAGCCGGGCUGCUGGUGCAGCAGAGGCUGAGGCAUCAGGUGCAGCUGCAUCCGGAUCUCCUGCCUUGGAGCGUACUCCUUGUCUCUAAGUCGGGAGGCAGGACGUGGUCAGGCCGGGGCUGUGGAGGUGCGCUGUGUCCCCUGAGGCCUAGAGGAUUCGGGCUGCGGCCCGUCGGAACCAGUCAGGGAGGCGCCCACACUCCUGACAGGAUAAGAUGGCGGCGAUGGCGCCUGGAGGUAGUGGCAGUGGUGGCGGCGUGAAUCCAUUUCUCAGUGAUUCGGAUGAGGACGAUGACGAGGUAGCUGCAACAGAGGAACGGCGGGCAGUACUUCGGCUGGGCGCCGGAAGUGGCCUAGAUCCUGGCUCUGCGGGCUCGCUGUCGCCACAGGAUCCCGUGGCCUUAGGAAGCAGUGCGCGGCCAGGGCUCCCUGGGGAGGCGUCGGCGGCUGCAGUGGCCCUGGGGGGCACCGGGGAGACCCCGGCCCGAUUAUCAAUUGAUGCGAUCGCUGCUCAGCUGUUGCGCGAUCAAUACUUGCUGACCGCCCUGGAGCUGCAUACCGAGCUGUUAGAGAGUGGCCGGGAGCUGCCUCGGCUGCGCGACUACUUCUCCAAUCCAGGCAACUUCGAGAGGCAAAGUGGAACCCCGCCGGGGAUGGGGGCGCCAGGGGUCCCUGGAGCAGCCGGCGUUGGGGGCGCUGGAGGUCGGGAACCGAGUACAGCGUCGGGCGGGGGACAGCUCAAUCGAGCUGGGAGCAUUAGUACCCUUGAUUCUUUAGACUUUGCAAGAUAUUCAGAUGAUGGUAACAGGGAAACAGAUGAAAAAGUGGCAGUCCUGGAGUUUGAACUACGGAAAGCCAAGGAGACCAUUCAGGCCCUCCGAGCCAACCUGACAAAGGCCGCAGAACAUGAAGUUCCUUUACAGGAACGAAAAAAUUACAAAUCAAGUCCUGAAAUUCAGGAGCCAAUCAAACCUCUUGAAAAGAGAGCUCUAAACUUCUUAGUCAAUGAAUUUUUAUUGAAGAAUAACUAUAAGCUUACAUCAAUAACCUUUUCAGAUGAAAACGAUGAUCAGGAUUUUGAAUUAUGGGAUGAUGUAGGAUUAAACAUUCCAAAACCUCCAGACUUAUUGCAACUCUACCGGGAUUUUGGAAAUCAUCAAGUAACUGGAAAAGAUCUUGUAGAUGUGGCCAGUGGAGUAGAAGAAGAUGAAUUAGAGGCCCUUACACCAAUUAUAAGCAACCUUCCUCCAACUCUUGAAACUCCCCAGCCUGCAGAGAACUCCAUGUUAGUACAGAAAUUAGAAGAUAAAAUUAGUUUGUUAAAUAGUGAGAAAUGGUCAUUGAUGGAGCAAAUCAGAAGACUUAAAAGUGAAAUGGACUUCCUCAAAAAUGAACACUUUGCCAUCCCAGCAGUUUGUGACUCUGUUCAGCCUCCUUUGGAUCAGUUGCCCCACAAAGACUCUGAGGACAGUGGACAGCAUCCAGAUGUAAAUAGUUCAGACAAGGGAAAAAACACAGACAUCCAUCUUUCAAUAUCAGAUGAAGCUGAUUCCACUAUUCCUAAAGAGAAUUCCCCAAAUUCAUUCCCCAGGAGAGAAAGAGAAGGAAUGCCACCUUCUUCUCUAUCAAGUAAAAAGACAGUUCAUUUUGAUAAACCUAAUAGGAAAUUGUCUCCUGCAUUCCAUCAAGCACUACUCUCUUUUUGUCGAAUGUCAGCAGAUAGUCGUUUAGGAUACGAGGUGUCUCGUAUUGCAGACAGUGAAAAAAGCGUUAUGUUAAUGCUGGGACGCUGCCUGCCACACAUUGUUCCCAAUGUGCUAUUGGCAAAGAGAGAGAGAAUGGUUUUACACCUCUGUCAGGAGUUGAUCCCCCUCAUAUUGUGUACAGCAUGUCUACAUCCUGAGCCUAAAGAGCGAGAUCAGCUUCUCCACAUACUUUUCAAUUUGAUCAAGAGGCCAGAUGAUGAGCAAAGGCAAAUGAUACUGACAGGUUGUGUGGCAUUUGCGCGUCAUGUUGGACCAACACGUGUAGAAGCUGAACUUUUACCACAGUGUUGGGAACAGGCAUCCAAUACAUUAAUGAAUUAUGUCACCUUUUCAUAUGGGAAUAUGAGAACAAAUAUACUCCUUUUCCAGUCAAAGAAAGAUUUAUAUUCUAUGAAGAAGACAUAUGGGAACAAAACCCAAUUAAUCACAAAUACCCAGAAAGACGACUGCUUGUGGCAGAAUCCUGUGGAGCACUGGCACCUUACCUUCCUAAAGAAAUCCGUAGCUCCUUGGUUCUUUCAAUGUUGCAACAAAUGUUAAUGGAAGAUAAGGCAGAUUUGGUAAGAGAAGCUGUUAUCAAAAGCCUUGGUAUCAUUAUGGGAUACAUUGAUGAUCCAGACAAAUAUCAUCAGGGUUUUGAAUUGUUGCUGUCAGCCUUGGGUGAUCCCUCAGAAAGAGUAGUUAGUGCUACACAUCAAGUAUUUUUACCAGCUUACGCUGCGUGGACUACAGAACUUGGAAAUUUACAGUCUCAUCUUAUACUUACACUACUGAACAAGAUUGAAAAACUUCUCAGGGAAGGAGAACAUGGACUGGAUGAACACAAACUCCACAUGUAUCUUUCUGCCUUGCAGUCCUUGAUCCCAUCUCUCUUUGCAUUAGUGCUACAGAAUGCACCUUUCUCCAGCAAAGCCAAGCUUCAUGGUGAAGUGCCACAGAUAGAAGUGACUAGGUUUCCUCGGCCUAUGUCGCCUCUUCAAGAUGUGUCCACUAUUAUCGGAAGUCGUGAGCAAUUGGCAGUGCUGCUGCAACUUUAUGACUACCAGCUAGAACAAGAGGGUACAACAGGCUGGGAGAGUUUACUGUGGGUUGUCAAUCAAUUGUUGCCACAACUUAUAGAAAUAGUUGGCAAAAUUAAUGUUACUUCAACUGCCUGUGUCCAUGAAUUCUCCAGAUUUUUCUGGCGCCUUUGCCGGACAUUUGGCAAAAUUUUUACAAACACUAAGGUAAAACCUCAGUUCCAGGAGAUUUUAAGACUAUCUGAAGAAAACAUUGAUUCCUCAGCAGGAAAUGGGGUCCUCACUAAAGCUACAGUCCCCAUUUAUGCAACAGGAGUCCUUACGUGUUAUAUUCAGGAAGAAGACCGAAAACUGUUAGUUGGAUUCUUAGAAGAUGUAAUGACGCUGCUUUCAUUAUCUCAUGCUCCUCUUGAUAGCCUGAAGGCUUCUUUUGUGGAAUUGGGUGCAAACCCAGCCUACCAUGAGUUACUAUUAACUGUUUUGUGGUAUGGUGUUGUCCAUACUUCAGCACUCGUGAGGUGUACUGCUGCUAGAAUGUUUGAGCUGUUGGUGAAGGGGGUGAAUGAAACUCUGGUAGCUCAGAGGGUUGUUCCUGCUCUCAUUACUCUCUCCAGUGACCCUGAAAUCUGACUCUUCGAGGCAUGAGUGAAGCGUUAGUUGACAAGCGGGUUGCUCCGGCCCUUGUUACCUUGUCCAGUGAUCCUGAAUUCUCUGUCAGGAUUGCCACAAUUCCAGCCUUUGGCACUAUUAUGGAAACAGUAAUUCAAAGAGAGUUGCUGGAAAGAGUGAAAAUGCAGUUGGCUUCUUUCCUGGAAGAUCCUCAGUAUCAAGACCAACAUUCUUUGCAUACAGAGAUCAUAAAAACAUUUGGUAGAGUUGGCCCUAACGCAGAACCCAGGUUCCGAGAUGAGUGUCAGUUUUAGAAUUAGCCUGUCUAAGUCAGGCAUGGUGCCACGUGUCUAUAGUCCCACCUACUCAGAAGCUGAGGUGGGAGGAUCACUUGAGGCCAGGAGUUCAACACCAGCCUGAGCAACACAGCAAGAUAAGUCCCUACAAAAGAUGUUUAAAAAUUAGCUAGGCAUGGUGGCACGUAUCUGUAGUCCAUCAACUCGGGAGGCCAAGGCAGGAAGAUCACUUGAGUCCAAGUGUUUGAGGCUGUGGUGCACUAUGAUUGCACCUGUGAAUAGUCAUUGCAUUCCAGCCCAAGCAACAGAGCAAGACCCCAUCUCUUAAUAAAAAAGAAAGAAUGAUAUCCAUCUGGGUUAUUAUUAAAUCAUCUCCUGGUCCUUCAUCUCCUACUGCUUUUAACCAUCUGUCUACAUCUGAGGGGUUAACUGUUAAGUGAAUUAAUUAAUACAUAUGUGGUACCCCAGGACAAUAUGUGUGUAGUGAAAUCUGAAUUCUAUAGUAAAGUUCUGUCUGUCUUCCUGAGAAUUAGGAAGAUCCUUAAUUAGAGGCUUUAACUUCCUUGAGACUACAGUUUAAAUGAACUUCUAUAGAUUUCUUCUAGUCAAGCAAUUUUAAGGGGAUAUUAUGCAGUGUGAUUGUUGCAUUUCUGAGAAAAACCUUGUAAAAAGGUCAGAGACUCAGGAGAAGAUGAAAUAAAGGAACCAUAUAUGAAUAGAUAAAGUGAAAGAAUGAUAAGUUUCUGAAUGUUUGGGCAGAAAUGAACUAGUGAGUCUUUGAGAGAGACUUAGAGUCACUAUUUUGUUGAGGCCUCAGCGUGCCAAUUAAUGAAGCUUUCAACUGAAUGUUUGGAGUUUUUGUUUCCUAAUUUGUUCUAGAGCUCCUCAUAAAUAUACUGUUAUUAAUUUUGACAAGUCAAAAGGUCCCCUAAAAAUGAUCAUUGUUAUUCUGAGUUUUUGUGGGGUUUUACUAAGCUAAGCAUGAAAGUUGUGAUUAUUGCCCCAGCUUAUUUAGGAUGCAGGAGUUUUUCCAGUAGAAGAUUAUGACUUUAUAUACACAAACUCAGUGCAAACAAGAAAGGGGUCACUACAGUUGGUCAGCAGUUGAUGCUUAUGGGUGGCGUUUUGUGAUCCUCAACCAAGCAGAGACUAGAAAGGGGUUGUGUGAUUGGUCUUGUGAUUAACAAUUUAACAAUCACUGACCCUGAAGCCAUUUCUUCAAAGAGCCCUGGUUUUAGUGGGAAAUGGUACCCAGAAAACACAAUCUUAGGCUCUAGAGGUGCUCAUUGCUACUGAAUUGGUUUUUGUUUCUUGGACCAUUGCUUUUAUUUAGCAGUAGGUUGAAAUUUUAUGUUACUCUUUGAGGGUAUUAAACUCAUUGAAUAACUUGAAAACUCAGCCGCCAGUGCUGUUUGACAUUGGUCUUUGCUAAGAAUUUGAGAAACUAAAGCUGAUAAUAGUAUUCUGAAGGAGUGAAAUAAUAGGUUGUUGAAAAAGAAUAUACUCUUUUGAUUUCAUAGCAAUGGUAAUAUUUUAUUUUUAUGGAGAAACUUAACUGCAAGUAUAAAUAAUACAAGAGGUAUGUUGUUUAUAAUUAUUUGGGCUUCAUUUUUCAAACUGGGAAACUGAAUUACAGUGAGGCCAAAUAAUCUAUAUACAUCCUCAUAAUUAGGUAAUAGUGACAGUACUAAAAUUUGUUUCCCCCAAAUGCCAGAUCACUUUUUAUUUUGAAAAACUACUUUCUUCCCUAGUUAAGAAAAAGCAAGUAUAAGAUAUGGGUAAUCUUUUGAAGUCAUUCAGAAUUAAAAUGAAAUUUCAUAAAUUAAAGUGAUAAAUUAUUGUUAAAGUGUGUCAGGGUUUUGUAUGCAUGUUUUGGGUAAAAAUUUAACCCUUUUUUUUCUGUUUUCAGUUGUUAUACCACAUUUGCAUAAGUUAGCCUUGGUGAACAACUUACAGAUUGUGGAUUCUAAAAGACUGGACAUUGCUACGCAUCUUUUUGAAGCCUACAGUGCACUUUCCUGUUGUUUCAUUUCAGAGGAUUUAAUGGUUAAUCACUUUUUACCUGGUCUCAGAUGUUUACGGACUGACAUGGAACAUCUCUCUCCAGAGCAUGAGGUUAUUUUAAGUUCCAUGAUAAAAGAAUGUGAACAAAAAGUUGAAAACAAGACCGUCCAAGAGCCUCAAGGCUCAAUGUCAAUUGCUGCAAGCUUAGUGAGUGAAGAUACAAAGACCAAGUUUUUGAACAAAAUGGGCCAGUUGACAACAUCAGGUGCCAUGUUGGCCAAUGUAUUUCAGAGAAAGAAGUAGAAGCAGGAAAGAAGCCCCCAGUAAACACUAAGAUGGACCUCAAGCCGACUGGUUCCUUGUACUUGAAGUACUUGCCUUUUUUGUUUCCUCAGUUUUAUGUUCUUGCAUUAUAAUUUUAUCCUAACCUCCAAAGAUAUUUGCACUGCUUUUAAUUACUGCUGUAUAUUUGUUGAUUUUGGAGUUACAACUGUGGUGAUAGAAAAUUGAGUUGAUGGUCUGUACCAAGUCCCUUGUCUAUGUUCUUGUCUUUCAGAAUAAUUUUUAUAUAAAUAUAUAUAUAGUGAAGAAGUUUUUUUUAAUUUUUGGAUGGGAUAUUCGCAAAUAUCUGUAUUAUACACUAAGCUAUUACAAUGGUACUUAAAAUAAUGUAAAUUUGAAGUCAUUGUUAUAAAAUAAUAAAGUGGAGAUUACUUAAGUAUUUAAAUUAUGAAAGAAUAAUGCAGACUUUUUAUUGUUUCUUAACUGACUAGAAAGAGCCACCAGCAUUACUCUGUGCCUUUUGGACAUCAGUUUGUGUGUUCUGUAGGAAUUGUGUGCAUUCCAUUCACACAGUAUUUCUUUAGGAUGCUGUGAUGAUUUGAAUUACAAAUCCUACAGUCAAUAGCUAAAGACGAAACCUUCAUUUCAGAACUCUCAUGAAUAUUCUUUAAGUGCUAUUUAAACCUCCCCAGCACUUAGAUGCAUAUAAUGGACUUACCUGAGGAAAGACAGCACAUAGGCAUGGGGAGAGGUAACCAAGGUGAAUUUUACAAACUGGUGUAUAGUAGAUUUAAAUGCUCAAAAAUAAAUGUAACUGAGAAGAGUUAAUAAUUGUGAGAUUUUUCCCAAAUUGAGAUACAGAAGAAAAUAUAGUUUGAAUCUGAAAUUUAACACUUAUUUAUGUAAAACACUUUAUUUAAGAUAUUUUCUAAUGAUUUUAAUUUUAGAGAGUACCUUUUCAUUCUGUGUGUUACAGAGAAGUACUGAAAAGUUAAGGACACUUGGGGGCUACUUUUUUCCCUCUAAACUAAAAAAGACAUUGGCUGAAUUAUAACUAGUUAGUUAUCACCUCGUCCCUUAAAGUCAGUGACCUCCUGUGUUUGAUGUAUAUUACAUAGAGUCUUAAGUCAGUGUACAGUUCCACUGGAAUUUGACAGUUGUCUCUACAGUCAUGCAACUCGAAGUAGAAAAGAGUGCUGGACAUAGGAAGGGGGUGCUUGGUUUGAGGGGUUAAUGUGAGGCCUUUUUGAAAAAUGAAUAUUUUGAUAAAAAGAAUUCUUGUUUUAGCACAGUUGAUGCACAUAAGUGAUUCUCAUAUUUGUUGUAUAAACUGGUUUAAUACAUUUGGAACAUAGUUGGAUUACAUUCAUUUCCUGGGAAAGCUAGCUUACCAUACAUUCAAGUUUAUAAAACAAUUUGCCAUAGGCAAAGCCAUUUAAAAAGUUCAUUCUGAAAUUAUUUCAUUUACCUACAGUGAAAUAAUUGUGAACUAAGUAGUCUUUCUGAAAACUGUUGGGUUCUAGGCAUUCCUGAGAAAUUGAAAGUGGCUACCUUUCAUGUCAAAAAUGUUGAUCUAUUAUAAAUAAAAUGUUUUUGCAUAUGUUUUUGAUUUGGUUUGGGCUAUGCAUUUUACUUUCGUUUUGAAACACUAUACUUUCUAUUAAGCAAAAAAAUGAGAAAAGCCUAUAUUCAUGAGAAUAUACUAAUAUUUUGUAAAUAUAAUUUAUAUAAAUUUACCUAUUUUGGUUUAUUUUUACUAAAAGGGGACCAUGUUGCUAUAAAACUAAUACAUUUCAGAGGUACCUGGAAGAAAAAUGUUUAAACUCUGAUUUGCUUCAAACUAUAGUAGAAUAUGUGUAUGUUUGUUAUCAGGUGAAUGGGUAGAAUGUAUUUUUAUUGUGAACAUUUUUCUUAAUUAAUGAAUAUAUUUAUUUAAGUGCUAAUGUUUUUUUAAAGGCAAUAGUAGGCAAGAUUCACAGUGUAUUUCAAGUGAGAGUCUCUUUUCUUAAAUAUUUUAAUAUCAUUAAGAUUUCACAUUGUGGUUUUGUUUUUUGUUUGUUUGUUUGUUUUUAGUAAAAUAUGUCUUGUCUUUACAGACAAGACAGACACUAAUCAUUGAGACUGAGAUUUGGACUGAGUCCAAAAUAGGGCAUAAAACUCCCAUACUCAUUCCUUUUAAACAGAAGUAAACUUACGGUACAAGUUUUUAAGUGUUCAACUUAAUGAAAAACUAAGUUUGCAAAGUAAUGAAAAGCUAAUUUGAAAUUAUACCUGUGUUUCCAGAGUAAUCCAGAGAUUAAAUUUUUUCAGAAAUCCAGAAGUGCCAUAAUUACUAAUUUAGCUGAAUUCUUCCAAGAACAGUGCUUGAAUGAUGGCAGUAUCUAUCUCUAUACAUAGGUGUCUAUGACCUUCAUUGGUUUGCAUUAUUCACCCCUUUAGAGAGAUUAUUUUGCUAAACAUCAAAUUGAUUUUCAACCUGAACGAAAUUGUGAGUAAUUUAAGUCAUGCCAUCCUCAUUAUCCAUAGCUUUUAGGAUAUGUCACUACUAUAGGAUAUGUCACUACUAUACACUAUAAUUCUAAUGGGGGUCUCAAGUCAAGGUGCUAUCACAUUCUUGUUUUUAAAAAGUUGGCUCAAAUAGUCUCUCUUAAAAUUUAGAGAGGUGAGAUCAGGAUGUAUUGAAUUGUCUUUUCAUCAUCCCAUUUUUCAAGACAACCUAUUUUGGACCAUUAUUUGAACUCCAAGGAUGUAACUUUCUGUAGUUACUACCCUGCUGAUCUUUGAACUGCAGUAGCUAACUACAGCUAACAUUCUGUGCUGGUUAUAUUUUCUUAACUAUUCUUUGUGUAAAGAUUGUACUAAUUUUUUCAGUUCAUUAAAGAAAGUUACACUUUAGCUCUUCAAUGUUACACUUAAAGAGCUUUGGACUGUGCGCUGUGGCUCACGCCUGUAAUCUCAGCACUUUGGGAGGCCAAGGUGACGAAUCACUUGAGGUCAGUAGUUCAAGACCAGCCUGGCCAACGUGGUGAAACCCCGCCUCUAAAAAUACAAAAAUUAGCCAGGCGUGGUGACGUGGGCCUGUAAUCCCUGCUACUCGGGAGGCUGAGACAGGAGAAUCGUUUGAACCUGGGAAGCGGAGAUUGCAGUGGGCCGCUAUUGCACCACUGCACUCCAGCCUGGUCCACAGAGCAAGACUCCAUCUCAAAAACAAAAAAAAAAGCUUUGUAAGUAGCAAUUCUAAUUCAUAAUUCAUGAAAUACUCCAGAUUAGCCAGGUAACAAAAUUCAACCUUCAAGGUUGGAUGUUAAUUCUCUUACAAGAAAACUACAAAAUAAAUUUAGCCUUUUGUAUGAGUAGACAUCUAUUUCAAAGUUCUACUGUAACUUUACAGUGUGCUUAGUUUUGAUACUAUUUUUUUCAGUACAUUAAAAAGAAAUAGAGACUGGCCGGGCACGGUGGCUCAUGCCUGUAAUACCAGCACUUUGGGAGGCUGAGGCGGGAAGAUCACUUGAGGCCGGGAGUUCAAGACUAGCCUGACCAACAUGGUGAAACCGUCUCUACUAAAAAUACAAAAUUAGCCGGGUAUGGUGGCGCACACCUGUAAUCCCAGCUACUCUGGAGUCUGAGGCAGGAGAAUCACUUGAACCCAGGGAGUGGAGGUUGCAGUGAGCCAAGAUCGUGCCACUGCACUCUAGCCUGGGCGAGAGUGAGACUACAUCUCAAAAAAAAAAAAUAAUAAUAGAGACAAACUACUAAUCAAAAAUAAUGUAUCAGGUAAGUUUCUGCAUAUUGGUAAAAAAAUUGAAUUUUAGACAAUUUUCAUACUGCGUAAGAAUGUGUUCUGUAUGCAUUUUGUGUGUGAGCCUACACUGUGAUCACAGUCUCCAAGUGGCACAUCUCAUCAUUCAUAUUUUCUCUUCAGAACCAAGUACAGGAAACUGUUUUGAUUGUCUUUUUUGUGGUUUACUUUGCAUGUUUAAGAAAAAUCUUAAAACAUCCUAUUCUCUGUUAAGACCACACCAAUCAUAAAGUACAUAACAGUUAAUAUAAACUUAAUAUUGCAUCAAAAACAAAUAUAUUUUAUUUUGAUAGUAUAUAAAUAAUAUCUUCAGUUCAGUGUUAUGAGGAAUGUAAACUGUUUGCUUUUCUCCAGAGAGGCGUCAAUAAAUCUGGGAAAUUCUGUCCCCCGCAUAUCUACAUGGAGAACUAUAUUACUAUUUUAAUUCCUUUUAUUCCAUUACAGACUAAUCCACCAUAUUUAUUUCAGUUAGAUCAUUGCAUGAAUAGAUUUCUGGAGGGACUUUAAUGUAGUAAAAUAUAUGUAGUUUAUAAACUGGUAUUUUGUGUUGUGUGUUAUGUAUAUUAAAUUCUUGGUCAGUGAUCUUUUUAGGGUGUCAUUUGUUGAUAGUAAUCUGCUUUUUAUAAUUUUAACAAACUGCUUCCCUCCUGGAAAAGUAACCCUUUCUUAAUUGUUGGCAUUUUAAACCUUAGAUAUUUUCAGGACAUGCAUCUUCAAUGAAGCUGGAAAUGUUACAGAUAAUCUCUCUAUAAAAUGUACAUUGCUGAGUAAUAUAAAUAUAAUAAUUUCUCAUUGACUUUAUGAUUUCAUAGAUGCUUUAUCUUCAUUUCUGAUCAUUACUUGACAGUUCUUUAAAUUCUUAGCUUUCUCUGUUCAUAAGCCUUCCCAUCAUGUAUUAAAUAAUGAAACUUAAAGGUGAAUACUUUCAUAAUGUAAA